GUCCCCGUAGUUUAAUGGUUAUGACGUCAGACUUCUAAUCUGAAGGCUGUGGGUUCGAGUCCCACCGGGGAUG
rfam:Phlebiopsis gigantea 11061_1 CR5-6 unplaced genomic scaffold PHLGIscaffold_44, whole genome shotgun sequence.